GACUAUACUUUUCUCAGUUUUGUUUUAUAGUCCCCCUGCUGUUAAAAUUUCUUUACUUCUGCAGUCAAAAAUCCACUACCACUCGGAUAAUUAACUCCCCUGAUAACUUUUAAAACAGGCUGUUUCUCUCCCAGAGUGCGCUCUUUUGUUCCUGUGUCCCCGACCCGCGCGCCCUUCUUCCGGCUCCCACUCACAACCUCGGCGCCGCCGGUCCCACAGUCAUGACGGCCUUCCGCGUGGCCCGCGAGGCCUAGUCACCCCAGGGGGGGCCCACGCCCGGCGCCUCUUCCCCCCCACCCCCACGUUAUAGCUCCCUUUCUUUUGCCGGCGCAGCGGCUCUGGGCGCGAGGGCCCUUUACAAAACUUUUAAAGCAGCUUUCUUUCCCAGCGCGGCUCCUCUCCCUCUCUGCCGCGCGCCGCCUCCGCGCUGCCGGUCCCGCGGUCAUAACGGCCUUCCGCGUGGCCCGUGAGGCCUGGUCACCCCAGGGAGGGGGGCCCUUUACAGGACUUUUAAAGCGCCUUUAUUUCCCGGCGCAGAUCCCUCCCCGCCGCGCGCUGCCUCCGCGCGCCGCCUAGGCGCCGCUGGUCCUGCGGUCAUGAGACGGUCUCCCGCGUGGCCCGCGGGGCCUGGUCACCCCAGGGGGGGGCCGCGCCUGGCUCCUCUGCGCCAGGCGUCUCUCCCCCCCUCCACCAUGUUUUAGCUCUGUUUAUUUCGCCGGCGCAGCGGCUCAAGCCCCGGCCCCUCCAUUCAUUGGCUCCGCCCGCGCCUGGCUCCUCUUCCUUUUGUUUCCCACUUUACGCCGUUCUCCCGAAGUUAAAUAAGACCAGACAAACCUAAAAUUCACAUCAAACUGCUUUUAAUUUUAAAAACAGCCUUUUUUUCUUUCUUUCCCUCUCACAUUGCGUUCCAAUUCUGUGGCCUCUCUGGCUUUGGUCUCCAGCCCAGCCCAUUCAUUUCCUGUUUCACCACCCACAUGGCGGCAGCGUCCCUGCGCCAUACGCCACCCGCCGUAGCCGCCCAAAAGCCGUGGCUUUCACAGCGCGCCCAGCUCUGGCGUGGCCGUGAGCCUUUCAAAACAAAGCCCACCUAACUUCACGCUGUGCCUCUCCUGCGGCCACACCCUGCCCCACACACCGGGCUCCUUACAGCAAGCAAGCCAUGCCUCUGACUGCCUCUGCCGCUGCACCGCCCCUACAGGGCGCGGCCACCAUCUCUGCCGCCCGCCUCGGCUGUCGCCCCGCCCCUCCGGGGCACAGCCACCGCCUUGGCCGCCGCGCCGCCCCUCCGGGGACGCGGCCACCCCCUCUGUCGCCCCGCCCCACGCGCGCGGGGCUCCGCGCAGCCAGCAAGCAGUGCCUCUGACUGCCUCUGCCACCGCCCCGCCCCUCCGGGACGCGGCCACAGCUCCCUUUGGCGCCAGGCGCCAACUGGGAUCAGCAAAGCCUUGCCUCUGACUGCCCCUGCCCGCCGCGGCCACCAUCUCUGCUGCCCGCCUCGGCCGUCGCCCCGUCCGUCCGGGGGACCGAACGCGAGCUGCAGCUCCCACUGACGCCAGGCGUUAACUGGGAUCACCAUUCGGGGCCUCCAAGCCCCACCCCCUUACGCGAUCGCAGCGGAACGACGUCAUUUCCCUGCGCCGCUUAGCGCGUCACGGUAAGCCUCCGUUCUCUGCUUACGGUGUCCCGCGUUCGCCCCGCCCACUCUGCAGUUCCUUGCUUGCCCCUCUGCGGCACCACACACACAGGCUGCCACUGGUGCCGCAUGACAAUUAGCGCGACACAGUAAGCCUCCGCUGUCUGCUUACAGUGUCCCGCGUUCGCCCCGCCCACUCUACACGUUCCUUGCCUACCUCUCCGCGGCACCGCACACACAGCAGCUCAGCGGCUCUGCUCAGGCAUGCUUUUUUUACAAUUUGGCUCCGCUCAAGAGAUGCUUUUUUAUUACAAUUCUCAAACCGUUUAAUCAAAGUUACUGGCCACCUGAUAAUUUUAUCAGCCUUGUUUAUCAAUCAAAGCCUUCACCACCUCCUGUUUAACAACUAAGGUUAUAAAUUCCUUUUUGCUGGAAACCACUAGCUCUAUUUCAAGACAAGGGUUUUCUUCAAAGUUUUAUUUUAUUUUACCAACCUUAUUUAUCAAAGCCUUCACCAAUCUCCUGUUUAACAACUAAGCUUAUAAAUUCCUUUUUGCUGGGAACCACUAGCUCUAUUUCAAGACAAGGGUUUUCUUCAAAGUUUUAUUUUAUUUGUCUUGAUUCAUAGUACUGCAAAUAACAACUUUAAAAGUAACUGUGUUCAAAAUCUGACAGUAUUAUAUCAGUUUUGAUUUAUUCAUAAGAUUGCUAAACCUAUACUUACUUAAUUCUACUAUAGUCCAAAUCCCAAACAAAAAGGCAAAACUUGACCUUCAAACCUUAGAGAGAUCUUAAUAUGGUUUUUUAUAUUUUUAACACUUGUGACACUUGGAGUUCUGAGACAGGUAAACCUACACAAGGUGGAGCUGCCUGCCCCCUCCAUGGACCACGCUCAAAUGCAGCAGAAGAUACUGGACAAAAAUGUCCCAUCCUGGCAUUCUUUGAGACCUUACUCCAGGGCUACUGGACUGUCCUAGCCACCAGAGAGUGGGUAAGCCAUCCUAAGUUCUAGCCCUCAUAGGAAAUGUCGACACUGCCAGAUUCGUCACCGACAAAAAUUCGCUGCUGGAGGCUGAGGGGGUUCAAGAUAACAACAGCCCCCUUUAAGGUGUCCGUCUCAGAUUCCAAGUCACACUACAGUCUCAGAAUUCUGCCUUGCCACCUCAACGUCACCCUGAUAAAAUACCAUCUCAAAACCAAAGUCACCUUCCUAUCUACCUCACCUGGGUCCUUAAAUAUAAUAGUGCCAUGUCUCCUAAUAACAUUAUGUCUCUUUGUUUUUCCAGUCUGACAUACAUACAUUCACCAGUGAAGUUGUCCUGGCUAAAACACCUGGCAUCAGUGUCUACCUGGGCAUCAACCUUCAUCCUGUCAAACUCCCCUAGACCCCAAUACAGCGCCCUCAGCCAGCAGGAAGUAGUUACAGAGAGAGAUCUUCGCCCCUUUUCCUAAUAACCAGAAGACGGGAUAUGAAAGAGUUGCCGGCCCAGAUAAAACACUGUAACCAGAAAAGGCUGCACCUAAACUCCUCCCCCACCCUGCCCCCUAUGGACUUGAUUGUAAUUCUGUAUCCCCAUCCUUAAGGACCUGUGCGCCAAUGAGAUAUCUGUGCAUCUCUAAUGAAGUUAGGGUGCUGCCCUAAGCUUAGGCUAUUUAGAUCUCCCACGCCACGUGUCUGAGAGAGUUCGCCGGGGAGUUUUGCCAGAGGGAGUUCGCCAGAAAGAGAGAGCUCGCCAGACUCCAGCGCGCCAGUCUCCACUCCCCGUGUUCCCAGAGACACCACAGCCCGGCCCCGGGCUCCGUGCAGAGAUGCCCGGGGCCGGCACCGCCGGCGGCGGGGGCCCCCUCCCCGCAUUCCCAGAAUAAAGCCACCGCUGACCACUA